AGGCCGUGAUGAGUAAUUUGCGCUGAAUUGUGAUGGCUGGGUCCCAUCACCAUCGUCUGAUCUUUCGGACGACAACUGGCGCAUCUGAGCUC
rfam:Vitis vinifera, whole genome shotgun sequence of line PN40024, unoriented chromosome 15, chr15